AUGUUAGGGAAAAUUUUAAAAAAAACUGGUAAGUUGCAAUUAGGGGCUAAUCAGAAUGCAACACAAAAGGAGAGGGACUUGAUGCAAAAUAACCCCUUUUGAGCGCAAAAGCGUGGAUCCGGGUCUUUUGGACGGGCUGACGCGCGGGUUGCUCCUUCCUAAAGCUGUACCGUUUCAUUAUUUACCCAAAAUUUAAAGGAAAUUGAAUGGCUAUUAACCAUUCCUUCCAAACGCAAGCCAAACAGCCAAUUUAUUUAGGGUUUUGACUCAGCAACCCUUAAUUUCUAAGGCUAUUUCAGCACCAGUACACCAUUAAAAUUGGUGAGGUGUAUGGAAACAGCCUUUAUUUCAAUUGAAAUCAACACUUCAAAGACCAUUUUCAUUUGUGAAUCCGCAUUUCUGUCCCCGAUUUCAACAGAGAAGCCAAGGGAUCUCAUCAAUGCAUUUAUCAAAGGGACGGUCGUACGGAGAAGAUGACCCCGGGUGACGUGGAGGCCGAGCGCGAGGGCCUCUCGUGUGAGACCAACCUUCUGGUGCCUUUCCAACUCGUUCCAGAAUCUUCUGGCAUUCACAAGGUGCUGAAAUAACUUUGGGUGUAUUGGGCCUCGGGUUUUGUUGUUUAUUGGGUCAUGGGUUAGGGAUUUUAGAAUUUGGGUUGAAAUUGUAUUUGGGCUGGUCAAAUUUGUAAAAGGACAUUGACAUUUGAAUUUUUUUAUUUGUGUGUUUUUUUA